rnacentral:tRNA from 1 species
GAUGUAAAUCAGUGGCAGAGUGUUUACCUAGUAUGUAUGAGGCCCUGGGUUCCAACCCCAGCAUC